rnacentral:rRNA from 1 species
CAACCAAUAACUGAACAAUAUAAAUAAACAACAAACCUAGCACCAAAAACUAAACCAUUCUUUUACCUGAGUAUGGGAGACAGAAAAGGUCCCACCAAAGCAAUAGAAACAGUACCGCAAGGGAAAGCUGAAAGAGAAAUGAAACAACCCAUAUAAGCACAAAAAAGCAAAGAUUAAAUCUUGUACCUUUUGCAUCAUGAUUUAGCCAGUAUACCCAAGCAAAGAGACCUUUAGUUUGAAACCCCGAAACCAGGUGAGCUACCCCGAGACAGCCUAUUAAGGGCCAACCCGUCUCUGUGGCAAAAGAGUGGGAAGAACUCCGGGUAGAAGUGACAGACCUACCGAACCUGGUGAUAGCUGGUUGCCUAAGAGAUGAAUAGAAGUUCAGCCUCGUGCUCCUCAAAUCAUAAACGCAAACAAGAUAUCAAGAGAAAUACGCGAGAGUUAGUUAAAGGGGGUACAGCCCCUUUAACAAAGGACACAACCUUUCCAGGAGGAUAAAGAUCAUAAUACAUAAAACAUACUGUUCUAGUGGGCCUAAAAGCAGCCACCUAAACAGAAAGCGUUAAAGCUCAGACAGAAGGAAGUUUAUUAUACUGAUAAGAAAUCUUACUCCCCUAAAUACUAUUAGACCAACCCAUGCUCACAUGGAAGAGACUAUGCUAAAAUGAGUAACAAGAAGGCCCGCCCUUCUCCAAGCACAAGUGUAAGCCAAACCGGACCAACCAUUGGCAACUAACGAACUCAACCCCAGAGAGCAAUGUGAACUACAAAAAAACCAAGAAAAACCCACAACCUACCUAUCGUUACCCCCACACUGGAGUGCAUUAAAGGAAAGACUAAAAGAAAGGGAAGGAACUCGGCAAACACAAGCCUCGCCUGUUUACCAAAAACAUCGCCUCCUGCAACACAACCCAGUAUAGGAGGUCCAGCCUGCCCAGUGACCACAAGUUUAACGGCCGCGGUAUCCUGACCGUGCAAAGGUAGCGCAAUCACUUGUCUUUUAAAUAGAGACCUGUAUGAAUGGCCAAACGAGGGCUUAACUGUCUCCCCUCUCAAGUCAGUGAAAUUGAUU